rnacentral:lncRNA from 1 species
AGCAGUGCAAAAUACACAGAAAUGUGGUGGCCAUGAUGCUCCCUGAAGCAGGAUUGUGAGAUUGUGAGAGCUGCCAAAUCAUGCACUGUUCGAGAUACAGCUAAUGAAGACAAGAUCUGUGCCACUCAGUGACUCUUCAUGCAAAAAUCAUGUAAUUAAUUUUGUGUGAUUGUGUAUGUGUGUCUGUGUGUGUGCUGACAUGGAUAGUCUACUAUUUUUAGACAUGGUCUAAAAAAGAUAUAUAAAGUGUUGUUUUCAAAAAUUUAACGAGUCAUUUAAACUGAAAUACAAAUACUUAUGUCCAUUUGACACUGGAAUUAGAAAUUAGCAGAUAGUUCAGUUUGCUCUACCUGAAACUGUGUGAUCCUUAGAGUCUCUGGUUAUUUUUAUCCUUGCAUGAGGAAAGAUGUAGUGCAUUGUCUUCCCAUUCAUCUGCAGAAUCUAGGACAUACAAGGGAUUAGGUGAAAAAAUCAGUAAUAAAAAAACCUUGACAUACAUUGUGGAAAUUUAUACUUGUUCAGUUCAAAGCACACCAAUUAAAUCAAAGAAAAUAUACCAGAUGGUUCUUGGAUGAUAUCAGCGGAAGAAUUUAUAGACACACUGCAUAAUGAUUUAUGAUUUUCUGAGUUCAUUGGUGUUUGAUAUAUAACCAAUCACGUUUGCACACUAGCUUGCUUUGUUUAGAGAAUGAAUGAGCGUGUUUAUCAGGUUUUCAAGGAUGUUUCUGACUACAGUGGUAUGUAUCCACCUGAUGGCCAUGAAUAAUUUAUAUUGACAAAAGCCUGUACCUGGUUUUGCACUUGAAAAAUCAGGAAGUGAAAAGGUAUUCCUAACCAUUUAGUAUUUACGUGAAACUCGUGCAGAAAACCAAGGGAUUUCCUCUCUUGUCACAUCCCUUCACCCUAACUAGGACUGCGAUAUAUUUAACGUGCUUGAAUUUUAUCGUGAAAGUUUCCUGAGGAUAUCUACUUGAUGCAUAUUUAUACUAAUUCUGUCUAGAUGAAUAAAGACUUGGUUUACAAGUGCUUCUCAAUUCUAGCUUUAUAUUCAAAGGUUAUGAUACUGACUGAGCUAUUUCUUAUUACUACAGGGAUUCCUAAAGAGGAAGGAGAAACACUAAGGCUACUUUUGUGUUUGUGGUUCCCACUCUAUUACAUAGCUUGACUUUAUUUUAACGCCAUAGAUUAUUCCUUAAAAUUCGUAUAUAAUACCUCACUCUUAUUUCAAUUAUUUUAUAAUGUCAUAAUGCUUUAAUGAUAAUUUUAAAGUCAUUUUCCCGAUUUGUUAAAAAAACUAAGGCAACACUAUUUUGAAUUUAGAGUUUCCUUCCAUUUUAUAAAUUUGUUACUGCAGAUGCAAUCUAAUAGUACAUAAACUGCAGUUUGCAAGAGUAAGUAGGUUUUUUAGUGUUUUAUAAGUGAAUCAUUGUCACUUGUAAAACAUCAUGAGGCGUUUAUAAGUAAAUAGUUACAUUUUAGUCAGUAUCUCUAAUGUUGGAUACUGAAUAUCUUCAUAUUCGUGAUUGUUUGCUUAGAGUAUCUCCAUACAAUUCCCACAGUUUUUAAGAUAUUAAACUUCUACAGUUAUGAUAUGGAUGAGCCAUUUUAAAGCAGAACUACAACGGCAGUUAAAUACUGACAUGGUCUUCUAGAAAAUGGACUUACGGAGCAGCUGUUUUUACCAGUAUUAGCAAGAGCCAAAUGGAGGUUAAAUGAUACACCAAGGUGCUAGUAUCUGUUAUCAUGGAUUUUGAUGAUUCUACAUCAAGAUGGUUACCUACUUGUAUCUCAGAAAAGGUAUUGUUCUCCUUUCCUAACCAUUAAUUCUUUCAUGAGUUGAGUCAACAUGUUUUUGAAGUAAUGAAAUUACCAUUAGCCUAUUUUUUGCACAUUCAUCCACUUGGAUCAGAAUACAAAUGUAAGAAAAGCAUGGUCUCUUCAGAGGAGACUAAUAUACCCCAAGGCAGGAGCACAGGGUUUGCAUAUAUCAGGAUCUCUACAGAGAAUGGGAAAAUAUAAUCAUAUCUAACAUGAUGGCCUUUUACAACAUUCAAGUAAAGGACAUUGAUCUUCCCCAUGAAAAAAGUCAUAAAAAUAAAUAUGUUAUAUAGUCUAUACAUUUAGUAAAGAACAUUUAGAUUAUUCUUGAAUAGUGAAAACCUUAAAAUGUACAUAUUGGGAAAAAUACUGAUUUGGUGAAUUUUGUAGUUAAUAUGAUUGUAAAUAUAGCAAUUUUUUCAGAAAUAAUUCUGUAUACAUGUAGUGUUUUGUGUACAAUAUUUAUACAAAAGACAAACUCAUGUAUGAAUUAAGUCAAUUGGAUUUUAUACUCUUUCCUCCUAUGGCACUUCAUGAGAAUGAAUUCUUGUUGUUCAUGUUUUCAAGUAACAGCAUUCCUGUUUAUUGGCACCAAGAGCUCAGUAUUACCUUUGAUUGCCAGAUAUACAAAGAAGUGAAUAAAAUGAAAAUGUCAUUUUGUUAUCCUCUAGAUCAAAAUAAAGUUCUUGAGUUGAAGAGGAAAACAGUAUUUAAAGAUAAAUAUCAAUGCAGAAAAAUAUGAACAUUAAAAUUCAUGUACUUAAACUUUGUAAAGCUUAUUUAUUUAAGGCAUAUGCUAUCUUCUAUAUCAAAUCCAUUUAGGAAACAUAUAAAGAAAACAAAUU